GGGUGGAACAGGAGGAGAAGAACUGGAGAGCAUCACCCUGCUGGAGAGAGAUGGGUUUUUGCAGAAGUGAAACUUGGUGAAGAAAACAUCGGGCAGCCAAAGGGUCUUCAAAUGGUGCUUCAUGAGUGCAAGAAAAAAACAAGACAGCAUUUCGAAAUUCAAUGACUCUUCUUUCCCUUGAAGCAAAGAGAAACUCACAAGACACUCUGGCUAGUCCAUGAGAGUGAGGCCGCCUCAUCCCCGCCUGCCCCAACUCCACCAAGGCAAGCUGGGAGAAACCCGGCCCUCCAUGCUGACUGGACUUCAUUUCUUAGGAACUCCAUCCCCAGCCAGCUGACAAAAGAGUCUGGCUAGCUAUUACCCUGAAAGUGUAUAUACUGUAAUUUACUAAAUUAUCAUUGCUUUGGACCUUCCUUUCAACUGUGCUCUCUUUAAAAGUAACCCCUUGGUGUGCUUUCACUUCUACAUGGUUCCCUGACCUUACGGUGAAACACCACACUUCUGCACCUGCUCUGGGAUCUGACGCCAUCCCCCGCAAACCCCGUCCAAACAAUUUUAGAUGGAGACAACUGCUAUUUCAUGAUGAAAACUUAUAAAAGGAAGGCCAGAGAUGAAGAGACUGUGGCCCACUGAUCUCCUCACAUUCCUGAUGAUGGUUUCUACUCAGCUGGAGGACAGUUUUCCACACCAUAAGCUCUUUUUCAAAGGCUCAAUGAAGAGACUUGUCAGCAACAAGAGAGGUUACCUUGACCAAGACGGACAAAUGCACAAUGUGCUUCUAGGGCCCCGAGCACUCUUCUAGUAGCCAUGGCACACCUAAGGUAACUCUGGG
rnacentral:lncRNA from 1 species